rnacentral:rRNA from 1 species
GAUCAUGGCUCAGGACGAACGCUGGCGGCGUGCUUAACACAUGCAAGUCGAACGAGAAUCUGUGGAACGAGGAUUCGUCCAAGUGAAGCAGAGGACAGUGGCGGACGGGUGAGUAACGCGUGAGGAACCUGCCUUUCAGAGGGGGACAACAGUUGGAAACGACUGCUAAUACCGCAUGACACAUAGAUGUCGCAUGGCAUUUAUGUCAAAGAUUUAUCGCUGAAAAG